rnacentral:rRNA from 1 species
AACGGACGCUGGCGGCAUGCUUAACACAUGCAAGUCGAACGAAUUUAAGUGCAGCUUGCUGUAUUUAAGUUAGUGGCAGACGGGUGAGUAACACGUGGGAAUCUGCCUGACAGUACGGAAUAACAGUUGGAAACGGCUGCUAAUACCGUAUACCCUCUCCGGAGGAAAGAUUUAUCGCUGUCAGAUGAGCCCGCGUAAGAAUAGGUAGUUGGUGGGGUAAUGGCCUACCAAGCCUACGAUCUUUAGCUGGUCUAAGAGGAUGAUCAGCCACACUGGGACUGAGACACGGCUCAGACUCCUACGGGAGGCAGCAGUGGGGAAUAUUGGACAAUGGGCGAAAGCCUGAUCCAGCAAUGCCGCGUGAGUGAUGAAGGUCUUCGGGUUGUAAAGCUCUUUCAGUAGGGAAGAUAAUGACGGUACCUACAGAAGAAGCCCCGGCUAACUCCGUGCCAGCCGCCGCAGUAA